AUACGUAGGUGACAAGCGUUAUCCGGAUUUACUGGGCGUAAAGGGCGUGUAGGCGGUCUUUUAAGUCUGAUGUGAAAGCCCACGGCUCAACCGUGGAUGGUCAUUGGAAACUGGAAGACUUGAAUGCAGAAGAGGAAAGUGGAAUUCCAUGUGUAGCGGUGAAAUGCGUAGAUAUAUGGAGGAACACCAGUGGCGAAGGCGACUUUCUGGUCUGUAAUUGACGCUGAGGCUCGAAAGCGUGGGGAGCAAACAGGAUUAGAUACCCUGGUAGUCCACGCCAUAAACGAUGAAUACUAGGUGUAGGGGGUAUCGACCCCCUCUGUGCCGACGUUAACACAUUAAGUAUUCCACCUGGGGAGUACGGCCGCAAGGCUGAAACUCAAAGGAAUUGACGGGG
rnacentral:rRNA from 1 species